GGCGGUAUAGCUCAGUUGGUUAGAGCAGCGGAAUCAUAAUCCGAAGGUCGUUGGUUCGAGUCCGACUACCGCUA
rnacentral:tRNA from 1 species